GUGAAUCAUCAAAUUUUUGAACGCAAAUUGCACUCUCUUCGGUGAGUAUGCCCGUGCGAGGGUCAGCCUAAAUAAAAAUCGCCAUAGUCGCUGUUUCGCGGUGGCAUUCGUCGGAAAUUGGGUCAUCUUAAACCCUUGGGUUUUAAGUGGCUGAAAAUUUUCUUAACGAUUCCACGAACGUUUCUAAGAUGUACUUUUUAAACGUUUAAGGUAUCGAUCUUUAUUAGACAUGGCGUUUGUGUC
rnacentral:misc_RNA from 1 species